GACGAACGCUGGCGGCGUGCUUAACACAUGCAAGUCGAACGGAAAGGCCCUUCGGGGUACUCGAGUGGCGAACGGGUGAGUAACACGUGGGUGAUCUGCCCUGCACUUUGGGAUAAGCCUGGGAAACUGGGUCUAAUACCGAAUAGGACCACGCGCUUCAUGGUGUGUGGUGGAAAGCUUUUGCGGUGUGGGAUGGGCCCGCGGCCUAUCAGCUUGUUGGUGGGGUAAUGGCCUACCAAGGCGACGACGGGUAGCCGGCCUGAGAGGGUGACCGGCCACACUGGGACUGAGAUACGGCCCAGACUCCUACGGGAGGCAGCAGUGGGGAAUAUUGCACAAUGGGCGCAAGCCUGAUGCAGCGACGCCGCGUGAGGGAUGACGGCCUUCGGGUUGUAAACCUCUUUCAAUAGGGACGAAGCGUGAGUGACGGUACCUAUAGAAGAAGCACCGGCCAACUACGUGCCAGCAGCCGCGGUAAUACGUAGGGUGCGAGCGUUGUCCGGAAUUACUGGGCGUAAAGAGCUCGUAGGUGGUUUGUCGCGUUGUUCGUGAAAACUCACAGCUUAACUGUGGGCGUGCGGGCGAUACGGGCAGACUAGAGUACUGCAGGGGAGACUGGAAUUCCUGGUGUAGCGGUGGAAUGCGCAGAUAUCAGGAGGAACACCGGUGGCGAAGGCGGGUCUCUGGGCAGUAACUGACGCUGAGGAGCGAAAGCGUGGGGAGCGAACAGGAUUAGAUACCCUGGUAGUCCACGCCGUAAACGGUGGGUACUAGGUGUGGGUUCCUUCCUUGGGAUCCGUGCCGUAGCUAACGCAUUAAGUACCCCGCCUGGGGAGUACGGCCGCAAGGCUAAAACUCAAAGGAAUUGACGGGGGCCCGCACAAGCGGCGGAGCAUGUGGAUUAAUUCGAUGCAACGCGAAGAACCUUACCUGGGUUUGACAUGCACAGGACGCCGGCAGAGAUGUCGGUUCCCUUGUGGCCUGUGUGCAGGUGGUGCAUGGCUGUCGUCAGCUCGUGUCGUGAGAUGUUGGGUUAAGUCCCGCAACGAGCGCAACCCUUGUCCUAUGUUGCCAGCGGGUUAUGCCGGGGACUCGUAGGAGACUGCCGGGGUCAACUCGGAGGAAGGUGGGGAUGACGUCAAGUCAUCAUGCCCCUUAUGUCCAGGGCUUCACACAUGCUACAAUGGCCGGUACAAAGGGCUGCGAUGCCGUGAGGUGGAGCGAAUCCUUUCAAAGCCGGUCUCAGUUCGGAUCGGGGUCUGCAACUCGACCCCGUGAAGUCGGAGUCGCUAGUAAUCGCAGAUCAGCAACGCUGCGGUGAAUACGUUCCCGGGCCU
rnacentral:rRNA from 1 species